rnacentral:rRNA from 1 species
AGCAGCCGCGGUAAUUCCAGCUCCAAUAGCGUAUAUUAAAGUUGUUGCAGUUAAAAAGCUCGUAGUUGAAUUUCAGGAUCAAUAUGUCGGUCGUGCCUUCGGUACGUACUGGUAUCAUUGGUUUCUCCUUUCUGACGAACCAUGAUGUCAUUAAUUUGGUGUUAUGGGGAGUUAGGACUGUUACUUUGAAAAAUUAGAGUGUUUAAAGCAGGCUUUAGCUUGAAUACAUUAGCAUGGAAUAAUGAAAUAGGACGUUCGAACCUAUUUUGUUGGUUUCUAGGAUCAACGUAAUGAUUAAUAGGGAUAGUUGGGGGCAUUAGUAUUCAAUUGUCAGAGGUGAAAUUCUUGGAUUUAUUGAAGACUAACUACUGCGAAAGCAUUUGCCAAGGAUGUUUUCAUUAAUCAAGAACGAAAGUUAGGGGGAUCGAAGACGAUCAGAUACCGUCGUAGUCUUAACCAUAAACUAUGCCGACUAGGGAUCGGAUGAUGUUAAUUUUUAAUGUACU